UAUACUCUAGCACCCAGAUUUGGCAUCCCAAUUUCUAUACCGUUUUUUUUUGUUUACAGCACCAACGGUAUCUUUUGCUCACACGGCAAGUGAUUCGGACGAACGAACUCUGUUCCUCUCAGAUGCUGAUACAUUUACAUUUGAUGAGGCAAUAACAGAGUGUCAAAACCAAGGGAUGGCUUCUUUUUGGCAACCUUGGCCACCAAGAAGAAGCAGAUGCUGUAUUCGAUUUUGUUGAAGAGGGUGAAGCCUGGAUUGGCUUGACAACCAGCACUUCGACAAAUUGCGAAGAUGAAGGAUGUAAUAAUCAAGCCACUUGGGAAGGGGAGAGAGGAUUAUACAUGCACCAAAACUUUGGAUACCGUCUAUCACUCAAUGACAAUCAAGGGAGGCAUUGCGUCCGAACAAACGCCGAUGCCAUGGGAAACCGAUUAAAUGACUUGGCAUGUUCUUCAAAUAAUCGCAGAAGACAAUUUUUGUGUCAAAAGGACAAGCCCAGCGAGUGCUUCCAGCCCUGAUAAUCUUUAGGAUCCUAAUGCUCGUCCACUCGUGAUCAUUAGAGAGCGGAUCUGAAAUUGAUGUGCAAGUUAAGGAGAAAUUCGUGAGGAAUUUUCGUGAUCGGCUUUCUCCUUUCGACAUUUAGACUAGAGCUGUGCACCGGAUCCGACAGGGUCUCCGAAUCCGAUUCCGGGUGAUUUUUUGCAAUCCGAAUCCGAAAUGUUUUGCCCAAUCCGAAUCCGAUAGCUCUGCCCAAUCUGAACGAACCGGAACCCGACUUUUUUCUCGAAUCCGAGUCUGAAUCCGAAUCGAGAUAUAUUUGCAUAAUCCGAACAUAAUCCGAAAUAUUUUGCAAAAUCUGAUCCAAAUCUGAUUUGUUCACACAAUUAACUUGAAAAGACCUCAUUUAACUUCAACUAAAUGUGCCUUUUGCCACUAGAACGUUUUGAAAUGAUGAGAUAUAGUGAUGUUGGCUUAGUCAUAAUAUAAUUUUCCUACUAUUGACUGUUUGGACAGCAAGAA